GACUAUUGUUGAUACAAUGCUUUAGCAAGAGCCAUGAAAUGCGAUAAGAAAGGAGGCAGAGCGGAGUAAACCUGGCCACAUAAAUGAGUGCACGUGUGUCCUUGUUGAGAAUGGCGGGAUUUGACCCAACUGAGAUUGCGCCCAGGCAGAGGGAGAAAAAGCUGAAGCCAAGAAACUUUCCCAAAAGGCACAGCAAGCAAGUUGGAGAAGGAAGAGUGAGACCCAGGAAGUUUGAAUCCAGGACCUGCGUUCCUACCUCUUGGCUAUCCCAGGUUGGACAGGAAGGAGCAGGGAGAUGGGAGAGAUUCCUAAGAUAGAUGAGAGUUAGAAAAAAGACAAGGGGAGCUUUGGACCAGUCUUUGACCUCAGGAUUGCAGUUCCUGAUCGGUAGUUUGACAGGAUAGACCUAGUCACCAAUCCCCCCUUUCCUGGUGCCCAACAGCAGUCUCAUCAUUCUAGGCAUCUACGGGAGAAGAGAGUAAAGAAAAUAUGCCAAGAAAUCCAAGGUGCAGUGUUCAAUGGCCCUGCCCUUCUCAGCACCUCCCUCUGCUCUUCAUCUCCACCCUCCUACUUCCCAUGGUUCUCUCUCCUCCAUUGGGAAAAAAGCCCAUAAUCCCCUUGGGAAAUCCACCCAUCCUUCAGGCUCACGCUGCCUCGGCAUUUGCACAUCGCAGGGAGUGCAGGUUGCUCUGACUCUAAUUAGCAGGUGCUGAGCAGUUUCCACAUUUUUGAGUAAAUAUGUCAAAACACAAAAUCCAUUCAUUCUUUCCUCUCCUCUACCCUUCCCCUCCUCUUGUAAAACACACUUUUCUCUCUUGGCUGCUCUGGAGAAGUGUUUUUCUUCAGCAAGAGUGAAAGUGGCAUUAACACAGGGUGUCUGGCAGUUUUACAAUCCUUUUCAAAUACUCAUCUGCCCUCCUGGUCAUUUAUCCAUCUGUUCAUUCGUUCAUUCAUGUGCCUUCCAUGAGGCAGGCACUGACUUAGGGCUUUGGGUUUUACUGGGGCCUCUCAAGUAUAAGGCUGGCAUCAGCAAGGAUCCCAUAAAGACCCUCCAGGAGAUCCCAUUAUCACCCAGGACCCAGCCAGGGCAAUCAGGUACCGUGGAGCCUCAGGGGACUUAUGCACUUAAUUUCCACCAUCUCUCUGGGCCUCCUGCUGGAGUGACUGGAAAACAGCUCUUUAAAUCAAGUAGCAGCUGGCUCCCUCCCUGCUGGGCUCUCCUCCCCAGCACCCACUCCCUUUCCCUCAAGUCCGCUGGGUUGGAGAAGCUCAAUUUGCAGCCGUUAUCUGCCUCUGUCUUUCCCAAACCUCCCCUGCAGCCUUUCUUCCCAAUUCCUCUCCCCAAACAAAAGAAACAGGAAGUCGAGAGGGUGGGGCUGCUGUUCAGACCCAUCCAGUCCCUGGAGCUUUUCCACAAAGCCUGCUGCCAGAUUCCUUUUACAACCUGGGCGCUUGGAAGCAUGCUUAGCUUUCCUGGCCAGAAUGAGGGACCUCAGAGUGGGCUGGGAGGGAGUGGGGGUGGAAUUCCCGUCUGAGUGUUGUUUGUUGUUUAAUUUAGGGUGACACAAGAAUAUAAAUCCCAUGAUUUUGAAGGGCUGGUGGUUCGGUUUCACCAGAAACUCACACAGGUCUCCCUGGCUCUCUUCUUGCAGCCUUCUGAGACUACCUUUAGAGAAGGGAGAGGAAGAGGCCUGGGGGGCUCCAGGUUUGAGUCAACACACCCCAUCCAAAUCCAGACAAGCCAGCAAUUUCGCCUAAUUCCACCAACACCUGCUCUUCCUUUGGCUUUGUCAGUAGCCCCCGAAGGCUGCCACCUGCAACAGUCUUAGCCUACCGUUGGUCCAGCCUUCCAGGGCUGACUGAACAUCUCCCAUGCCCCUAGGACCUCAUGGACAAAAAGGGAAAGGAAGUGGUCCCUACCCUUGAGGAGGAGCUCCUGGCUGUAGGAGACAGAGCUGUCUAUGAGCCAAGUAUUUCAACAGAGAAAAUACAGUGUUGGAGUAGGGACGAGGGAAGUAUACUAUAUAAAACAGUAUGUGGGGCCACAGAAUAGGGGCUGGCAGGGCCUUGGAUGCUGCACUAUCCCAUUCUACUCAGUGAUAUGAAAACUGAGGCCCAGAGGAGUGAGGCGCCUUGUCCAAGGUCACAGAGCCGGUCAGGGGCAGCACAAGACUCACACUGAAGCCUCCUGGCUUGGAAAGUUAAAUGUCCAGGUUGUGAACUAUGCCCAGUUGGUCAGUCAGUUCCUCUUCCUCCCCCUCCCCUCACUCUCCUCGGAUCCUCCAGCGUUUACCCUCCCUGAGUGGCCGGGCCCCAGGAAAGCAGUUGCUGGAACUAUUCGGAGGAGGCAGUGAGCAAUGCCAGCAGAAUCAUUUCCAUUAAUUUAUACUAUUUUGCAGCUCCUCCAAUCUGCCUGCUCCCUGCUGGUCCUUCCAUGUCCUGACUGAGAUGGCUGUUCUGUUUGUUUCCAUUGUCUGAGAAAUAAAAUGGUUUUGAUUACA